rnacentral:rRNA from 1 species
UACGAAGGGGGCUAGCGUUGCUCGGAAUUACUGGGCGUAAAGCGCGCGUAGGCGGGUCGUUAAGUCGGGGGUGAAAUCCUGGAGCUCAACUCCAGAACUGCCUUCGAUACUGGCGAUCUUGAGUCCGGGAGAGGUGAGUGGAACUCCGAGUGUAGAGGUGAAAUUCGUAGAUAUUAGGAAGAACACCAGUGGCGAAGGCGGCUCACUGGAUCGGUACUGACGCUGAGGUGCGAAAGCGUGGGGAGCGAACAGG